GUCGAGCGGAUGAAGAGAGCUUGCUCUCUGAUUCAGCGGCGGACGGGUGAGUAAUGCCUAGGAAUCUGCCUGGUAGUGGGGGACAACGUCUCGAAAGGGACGCUAAUACCGCAUACGUCCUACGGGAGAAAGCAGGGGACCUUCGGGCCUUGCGCUAUCAGAUGAGCCUAGGUCGGAUUAGCUAGUUGGUGAGGUAAUGGCUCACCAAGGCGACGAUCCGUAACUGGUCUGAGAGGAUGAUCAGUCACACUGGAACUGAGACACGGUCCAGACUCCUACGGGAGGCAGCAGUGGGGAAUAUUGGACAAUGGGCGAAAGCCUGAUCCAGCCAUGCCGCGUGUGUGAAGAAGGUCUUCGGAUUGUAAAGCACUUUAAGUUGGGAGGAAGGGCAGUAAAUUAAUACUUUGCUGUUUUGACGUUACCGACAGAAUAAGCACCGGCUAACUCUGUGCCAGCAGCCGCGGUAAUACAGAGGGUGCAAGCGUUAAUCGGAAUUACUGGGCGUAAAGCGCGCGUAGGUGGUUUGUUAAGUUGGAUGUGAAAUCCCCGGGCUCAACCUGGGAACUGCAUUCAAAACUGACAAGCUAGAGUAUGGUAGAGGGUGGUGGAAUUUCCUGUGUAGCGGUGAAAUGCGUAGAUAUAGGAAGGAACACCAGUGGCGAAGGCGACCACCUGGACUGAUACUGA
rnacentral:rRNA from 1 species